UACGUAGGGGGCGAGCGUUGUCCGGAUUUAUUGGGCGUAAAGAGCUCGUAGGCGGUUGGGCAAGUCACGUGUGAAAUCUCCACGCUCAACGUGGAGGCGCCACGUGAGACUGCCCUGACUGGAGUCCGGUAGGGGAGCGUGGAAUUCCCGGUGUAGCGGUGAAAUGCGCAGAGAUCGGGAGGAACACCGGUGGCGAAGGCGGUUCUCUGGGCCUUACCUGACGCUGAGGAGCGAAAGCGUGGGGAGCGAACAGG
rnacentral:rRNA from 1 species